rnacentral:rRNA from 1 species
UACGUAGGGUGCGAGCGUUAAUCGGAAUUACUGGGCGUAAAGCGUGCGCAGGCGGUUCGCUGUGUCCUGUGUGAAAGCCCCGGGCUUAACCUGGGAAUGGCAUGGGAAACUGGCGGGCUGGAGUGUGGCAGAGGGGGGUGGAAUUCCGCGUGUAGCAGUGAAAUGCGUAGAGAUGCGGAGGAACACCGAUGGCGAAGGCAGCCCCCUGGGCUAACACUGACGCUCAGGCACGAAAGCGUGGGGAGCAAACAGG